rnacentral:rRNA from 1 species
AUUGAACGCUGGCGGCAUGCUUUACACAUGCAAGUCGAACGGCAGCGCGGGGUAACCUGGCGGCGAGUGGCGAACGGGUGAGUAAUAUAUCGGAACGUACCCAAGAGUAGGGGAUAACGUAGCGAAAGUUACGCUAAUACCGCAUACGAUCCAAGGGCGAAAGUGGGGGAUUCGCAAGAACCUCAUGCUCCUGGAGCGGCCGAUAUCUGAUUAGCUAGUUGGUGAGGUAAAGGCUCACCAAGGCGACGAUCAGUAGCUGGUCUGAGAGGACGACCAGCCACACUGGGACUGAGACACGGCCCAGACUCCUACGGGAGGCAGCAGUGGGGAAUUUUGGACAAUGGGCGCAAGCCUGAUCCAGCAAUGCCGCGUGAGUGAAGAAGGCCUUCGGGUUGUAAAGCUCUUUUGUCAGGGAAGAAACGGUUGGGGCUAAUAUCCUCGGCUAAUGACGGUACCUGAAGAAUAAGCACCGGCUAACUACGUGCCAGCCGCCGCGGUAAGAC